GUGUCAGCAGCCGCGGUAAUACAGAGGGGGCGAGCGUUAUUCGGAAUUAUUGGGCGUAAAGGGCGCGUAGGCGGCUCUGCAAGUGACGGGUGAAACCCCUCGGCUUAACCGAGGAACUGCCCGUUAGACUGCAAGGCUUGAGACCGGGAGAGGUGAGUGGAAUUCCCAGUGUAGCGGUGAAAUGCGUAGAUAUUGGGAGGAACACCAGUGGCGAAGGCGGCUCACUGGACCGGUACUGACGCUGAGGCGCGAAAGCGUGGGGAGCAAACAGGAUUAGAUACCCUGGUAGUCC
rnacentral:rRNA from 1 species